rnacentral:lncRNA from 1 species
CUUUUGUUCAGAAAAGAUAUUUUCUCUUUAAAUACGCUCUCAAAAUUUUAAUUCCUUUACCGCUUAGUUUAGCCUAACCCCAUGCAUCCUAUUCACACGGCGCACACUCUCGCACUCCAUACAUUUAGCUAUUAAAUUACAUUAUAAACAAAAAGGCAAAAUAAAAAGGUAAAUUACGUUAUCACUGGCUAUCCUAUAACCCACUUAGACUGAGUUUUGGAUUCCGGUUCGAAAUGUAAAACCUUAACUGAAAGGGCAUGGGCUUUGGUUUUAUUAACUGUCCGAAAUAAGUAUUGAACCUUAAACUUACC